rnacentral:rRNA from 1 species
CUACGGGCGGCUCCAGUGGGGAAUAUUGCACAAUGGAGGAAACUCUGAUGCAGCAACGCCGCGUGGAGGAUGACACUUUUCGGAGCGUAAACUCCUUUUAUAUAGGAAGAAGAUGACGGUACUAUAUGAAUAAGCGCCGGCUAACUCCGCGCCAGCAGCCGCGGUAAUACGGAGGGCGCAAGCGUUACUCGGAAUCACUGGGCGUAAAGAGCGUGUAGGCGGAUUAAAAAGUCAGAAGUGAAAUCCUAUAGCUUAACUAUAGAACUGCUUCUGAAACUCUUAAUCUAGAAUAUGGGAGAGGUAGAUGGAAUUUCUGGUGUAGGGGUAAUAUCCGUAGAGAUCAGAAGGAAUACCGAUUGCGAAGGCGAUCUACUAGAACAUUAUUGACGCUGAGACGCGAAAGCGUGGGGAGCAAACAGGAUUAGAUACCCGUGUAGUC